UUGACAUGGGCGAGAGGGUCUGUUUGU
rnacentral:piRNA from 1 species